GCCCUUUUCCGGUUGAUCCUGCCGGAGGCCAUUGCUAUCGGGGUCCGAUUUAGCCAUGCUAGUCGAACGAGUUGAGACUCGUGGCGACCAGCUCAGUAACACGUGGCCAACCCACCCUGUAGACCGGAAUAGUCUCGGGAAACUGAGGGCAAUACCGGAUAGGCGAUCCGCGCUGGGAUGCGGGAUCGCCGAAAGGUGAGCCGCUACAGGACGGGGCUGCGGCCGAUUAGGUAGACGGUGGGGUAACGGCCCACCGUGCCAGUAAUCGGUACGGGUCAUGAGAGUGAGAGCCCGGAGACGGACUCUGAGACAAGAGUCCGGGCCCUACGGGGCGCAGCAGGCGCGAAACCUUUACACUGCACGAGAGUGCGAUAAGGGGACCCCGAGUGCGGAGGCAUAGUGCCUUCGCUUUUCUGGACUGUAGGGACGUCCAGGAAGAAGGGCUGGGCAAGACCGGUGCCAGCCGCCGCGGUAAUACCGGCAGCCCGAGUGAUGGCCGAUAUUAUUGGGCCUAAAGCGUCCGUAGCUGGCCGCGUACGUCUGUCGGGAAAUCCACGCGCUCAACGCGUGGGCGACCGACGGAGCCGGCGCGGCUUGGGACCGGAAGGCGCGACGGGUACGUCCGGGGUAGGAGUGAAAUCCUAUAAUCCCGGACGGACCGCCGAUGGCGAAAGCACGUCGCGAGGACGGCUCCGACAGUGAGGGACGAAAGCUGGGGUCUCGAACCGGAUUAGAUACCCGGGUAGUCCCAGCCGUAAACGAUGCCUGUUAGGUGUGGCACUCGCUACGAGCGGGUGCUGUGCCGUAGGGAA
rnacentral:rRNA from 1 species